UGAAGACAGAGGAAUAUAUCCACCCUAUUUCCGCCAAGAUUUUCUAGGCUUUCAACGAGAAGUAGCCCUCUGUCAGCUGACUCAUUUGAUAUCAACCCUAACUGUCACAAAUGGUAUGGGAGUGGCAGGUUUAAUCUAUUUUUGUAUGGGAAACAU
rnacentral:lncRNA from 1 species